GCAGCCUUCGCCAGCCCCCAACUUUAGAGUGAAGCUCCAGUUGACCCUCAAAGUUCCUUGAAGCAAACCUCUGUGUAAGUGAAAGGGUCCCAGAGCCACCACAGUGGGGGCAGGGUGUCUUGGUGGCAGCUUAAACUGUUUUGCAGCCUGUGCUUUUAGGGACCCAGGCCAGGAGUUAAGACUCCUGCUGUUAACAGUCACUUUAUCCUCUCCGCCCACUCCACAGAGCCUGGCAGGAAGGCAGUCCAGAGCCGCGGGUCAACAGAUGUACACGGGCUGCUGAGUGGAGACCCACCAGGGAGGACUAAGGCGGUGGAAAAGGCCACUCUGCCUAGACUUUGAAUUCCUCAGGUCCUUGGGGCUAAACAUAACACUGCUUCCUCAGUGGAGCCCCUCUUCCCUUGCAUUUAUAAACCUUAACUCAUGCAUUGAUGCCAUUUAACUGCCAGGUAGCUAGCUAGAACUGAAAAUGUAACCUUUAAUUUGAAGGCCUAUACUUGAAGAAAUUGCUUGUCUGCAGUGCUGAGGUUCUGGGAAGGUAGCAAUGAGAAGGAGGGAUUGAAAGAAGGGAGAGUCACAGCUGAAAAACAGAAUCCGGUGCCUCUGUGCUCUGUAAUGUCUCAUCUUUCCUUUCCAGAAGCCCCCAAGCUCUGACUUAGCUAAAAUUAUUUUGGUUCAUUCGGCCACGCCUCAAGAUGUUCGGCCAGGACACUUUGAUUGGACUGAAGGGAAAUGGGUUAUUUAAGUGGCCCGAACUUCAGAACAAGAUGUGUGUUUAUACCUAUUCUGUUGCUCCAUUUCGGCUCCAAAAGAUGAUAGAGAGAAAAGACUUCCUGGGCUCUCUAUAGCGGAAACCUGUUGGCAAGGCGAAGACCACCUGGCCCCCGGCCAAGCCCAGCAGAGAUGCUGCUUGAGAGAGACAAGUCAGUGAGCAUUUGUGCAGGCUCUGGUACCUGGAACAAAAAUACGCCGAGCCGCAAAUUAUGGCUUUCAGAUGUCACCACUGCCAUCUGACAUUGUGUUUCAGCUGUUCACGUCUUCAUUACUGUGCUGCAGCCUCCCAUUAAGGCUGUUACUGUGUGUGAGACAGAUUUAUGUUAUGUGGUUUUCUGUACACCCCAAGCAACAAUGCUCACCAAGGGUUAUCAGGCUGAUUGCCAAAACCCUAUGGUGGAGAUGCUCUGAGUCUAUAGGUUGCUUUGUGGGCGUCCCUGUGUGCAUGUGUGUGUGUGUAUGUGUGUGUGUACAUCCCUCCUCCAUGCCCCAUCUUGUAACAGCUGAAAGGAAUCAGCCUCCACACUACAGGAACUUGUUCUUUGUGUGGUUUUCUCAUCUCCCUUUGCUCCCUUACGGCCCCCCCUCCUGGCCCAUCUGCCAGAUCCUUCCUCCCCCUCUCUCUUGCUCCUCUUUGAGGUGGUAACCAGACCAACACAGCAAUGCCCUUGUGACUCCCUUUUCAGUUUCUCAGCCUCACUCAGAUUAAUGGAACAGAAACAUGUGCUUGCAUCUGAUGCCAGUAAUCAUAUCCUGAGUGACCACAGAGAGAGAGAUUAAGCAAAGACAUUCAGAAGAGGCACCCGAGACCUGAUGCCCGACAGGGGUUGGAGCUCAGAGCUGGUGCUGACAAGAGAGGCUGGAAGUGAGGAUCAUCUGCACGGAGGUGUCAGGGGCCACCAUAAAGGAGUGACUGUGGAGGAAUCACUGCUUUUCCAGGAUAUUGGCAGGACUUGCACGAAGGAUAAACAGAGAGGCAUGUCAGCUUCCAGGGUCUCUUUUCUGUUUCUCAGAAAAAAAAAGAGUCUAACCUUUUGAAGACAGACUUGAAGUUAAUUGCUCGUUCCUCAGGAGUGCCUGCCAAAGAGAAAAUGAACCCGGUGACCCUGACGACCCACCACCCCAGCUGUUCUCCAUCACCUGACGGUUGAGCCUUCAAGAUGCUGGCGAGUUCUGCCUGUGCAUGGCUUUGACCAGCUCCAGCCAGAAAGAGGAACUUUCAGAGUCCAGGUUUGGGGCCUGUGGAUGAGUUACCUGUUACCAAGAAAGGUUACUGAGUCUCCAUCACUCAUUUGGGAAUGAGGCCACUUCCUACUGACAGAUCCUGUAGCUAUUUAUGGAGAGUUUUGGCCUUUCAGCAUCCAAUCCCUCUUUCAAUCAGGAGGAGUUCUCCACUGCAUAUUAUCUCAGAGGGUCCCAAUGUACCACCUCCUGCUGUGGAUGCCAAAGCUGGUGUGGGGGAAGCAGGAGGUGAGAAUGCAACUCAGGAUCAGUCAACCACAUGGGACCCUGAAUCUUGCAGGAGAGGCAGAAAGAGGCAGAUGUGGUUUAUAAAUUAUUGGCAGUUAUUGAAAGUCUAGAGGUGCAGCAUCGAGUGUCCAGCAUGGUGACAUCUCACUCCAGUGUUCUAAUUACUUUCUCCUGUAGCGAACUGGGCUCUGGUUCCAGCUCCCUGGCCUCCCUUGCUUUCUGUGUAUUUCCUGGGCCUGGCCUGGCCUUCCGGUCUUUCUGCCUUGCAGUGAAUUUUCCUUUCACCAAGUUAGUGAGACUGAGUUUCUGUUGCUUGCUGCCAAGAACCUUAACAAUGUAGAACAGCGAAGAGAUGUGCUGUCAAGGCCUGAGCAACAGGUUCAACUGGACCCAAGACACGAACACUGUAUGAAAGUUACCCUCCUGCAAGUGACUCAGAAUGUCAAUCCUCCAGUGAGAGAGACAGAGAAUAAAUAAAUGUCUAUACAUAAAUACACACACUCACACGCGCACACAUAUGUCAGGUGGUGACAAGAGAAGAGUAAAGUACAAUGAAGGAGUAGAGAGUGAGUGGGCAGUAUUUUAGAUGGGGUGGUGAGGGAAGACUGUUUGGAGGAGGGGGUGGUGAGCAGCGGCCUGAAUGGAGUGAAGGAGCAGCCAAGUCGGGUACUCAGAAGAGCCUUCCAGGCAAAGGGAGCCCCAAGAGGAAAAGG